rnacentral:rRNA from 1 species
AGUGAACGCUGGCGGUAGGCCUAACACAUGCAAGUCGAACGGCAGCACAGUAAGAGCUUGCUCUUACGGGUGGCGAGUGGCGGACGGGUGAGGAAUACAUCGGAAUCUACUUUUUCGUGGGGGAUAACGUAGGGAAACUUACGCUAAUACCGCAUACGACCUACGGGUGAAAGCAGGGGAUCUUCGGACCUUGCGCGAUUGAAUGAGCCGAUGUCGGAUUAGCUAGUUGGCGAGGUAAAGGCCCACCAAGGCGACGAUCCGUAGCUGGUCUGAGAGGAUGAUCAGCCACACUGGAACUGAGACACGGUCCAGACUCCUACGGGAGGCAGCAGUGGGGAAUAUUGGACAAUGGGCGCAAGCCUGAUCCAGCCAUACCGCGUGGGUGAAGAAGGCCUUCGGGUUGUAAAGCCCUUUUGUUGGGAAAGAAAAGCAGCAGGUUAAUACCCCGCUGUUCUGACGGUACCCAAAGAAUAAGCGCCGGCUAACUUCGUG